CGGUAGAGCAUGGGACAA
rnacentral:miRNA from 1 species